AUUGAACGCUGGCGGCGUGCUUAACACAUGCAAGUCGAACGGUAAGGCCCUUCGGGGUACACGAGUGGCGAACGGGUGAGUAACACGUGGGUGAUCUGCCCUGCACUUCGGGAUAAGCCUGGGAAACUGGGUCUAAUACCGGAUAGGACCCUGGGAUGCAUGUCCUGGGGUGGAAAGCUUUUGCGGUGUGGGAUGGGCCCGCGGCCUAUCAGCUUGUUGGUGGGGUGAUGGCCUACCAAGGCGACGACGGGUAGCCGGCCUGAGAGGGUGACCGGCCACACUGGGACUGAGAUACGGCCCAGACUCCUACGGGAGGCAGCAGUGGGGAAUAUUGCACAAUGGGCGCAAGCCUGAUGCAGCGACGCCGCGUGAGGGAUGACGGCCUUCGGGUUGUAAACCUCUUUCAGCACCGACGAAGCGCAAGUGACGGUAGGUGCAGAAGAAGGACCGGCCAACUACGUGCCAGCCGCCGCGGUAA
rnacentral:rRNA from 1 species